CUUUUGCCAACAAGUUCUGCUUCAUUGUAUUAAGGUAGAUGACAGUAUCGGUUGUGGUACAGUUCUUUUAGAAGAUGAACAUAUUACAAGUGAAUUUGUUCAUGCUGUAGAAAAAAUCACUAGAUCAGAAAAGCUACUUCCUAUAGAAUAUAUUCACACAAGCAAUUGAAAACAUUACAUUGUUUCAAAACGUUGUAAAAUGUUAAAGGUGGAGAGUUAUUGUUAAUACAGCCUUGAUGUUCCCUUUUAACAAUCCAACUUCUAUGCCUUUUUUAGUGCUGCCCAUGUGCAUGGAAUGCCAUCCAAAUCCCUGUUCAUUAAACCUUUCCUAGUUCAAAGCCCUCCAGAAAACUCUCUUCUGCUGUGUAUUAUCUAACUAGCACUGAAGGGACUGCACUGGUCGUGGUGAAACAGUGGGAAUUUCCCCAAAAAGUAUAGUUUAGACAAGAUCUAUGAAGAGGUGAUUCAAGACGAGUGCCUGGAGCCUACUCUACUUCAGUAGUUUAACACAGUACUGUACUGCUGCCUGCUUGUGGACUGCCGGUUCCAAAUGAGUAGCUGGAGAAUCAUUGAGGAUCCAUUAGAUCACUGGAGAUCACAAAUAGCUGCUGAGUCCUGUACCUAGAUGGUUGUACAGAGGCACUCCUGGAGAGCUGGAAAAUGUUUGCUGUAACCAAGAUACAAAAGGAAGUGUUCUGUGAUACUUUCAAGCGGAGAAGUUGUACCCAAAUUUUUUUCUGUGACAAGGCAAAUGGAAGAAAGCAAAGCUGUGGUCCCAUGAGACACUAUGAUCUGCAAGUAUGUUUAUAGCGUGGAUGCCAGGGACCUUGAGGAUUUAAGGCUUUUGUACACAAGGUCAAGGCCUGGCUAUAACACAGAUAGAAAGUGAAUACCAUCCAGUUACCCAGCUGUGUAUGCAGGAGGGUAUCCUUCCAGUACCAUGUCUCUCACAGCACACACGGAUGCUCAUAUUUAGAGACAGAUUUUUUUUUUUUGCACUGAAAAUGUGUCUAUCAAAAUCAGUAGUAGACAGACAUGCCAGUUCCUGCAAAGAAUGGACUAUGAUUCACCAUUCAAUAGCUCAUGAUUUAGAAAAGCAUUCACCUUGAAACAGUCAAUAUGUGCACGACUAAUGGAUAUUUAACAGAAUACCUCACUUAUAGAUUAAUUAACUAUACAAACAAUUAACAGUGCUCAUGUCUAAAGACAGAAUAGCCUCUAGAUGGUGUCAAUUAAAACACUAUUGUUCUCUA